rnacentral:rRNA from 1 species
GGUGUUAAACCGANGAAGGUGGGGAUGACGUCAAGUCCUCAUGGCCCUAUGCCCAGGGCUACACACGUGCUACAAUGGCGGCUACAGCGGGCAGCGACACCGCGAGGUGAAGCCAAUCCCUAAAAAGCCGCCUCAGUUCGGAUUGGAGUCUGCAACUCGACUCCAUGAAGCCGGAUCGCUAUAAUCG